UACGUAGGUGGCAAGCGUUGUCCGGAUUUAUUGGGUUUAAAGGGUGCGUAGGCGGCCUUGUAAGUCAGUGGUGAAAUACUCUAGCUUAACUAGAGGGGUGCCAAUGAUACUGCAGGGCUUGAGUACAGAUGAGGUAGGCGGAAUUGACGGUGUAGCGGUGAAAUGCAUAGAUAUCGUCAAGAACACCUAUAGCGAAGGCAGCUUACUGGGCUGUAACUGACGCUGAGGCACGAAAGUGUGGGGAGCAAACAGG
rnacentral:rRNA from 1 species